UGCCACUUGACUUAAAAUAAGUGGUACAUCCUGCCCAGUGAUUAUUAAACGGCCGCGGUAUCCUGACCGUGCAAAGGUAGCAUAAUCAUUUGCCUAUUAAUUGUAGGCUAGUAUGAAUGGAUAAACGUGAACUUUACUGUCUCCUCUAAGUAAUUAAAACUUUAUAUCCAAGUGAAGAAGCUUAGAUAACCUCGCAGGACAAGAAGACCCUAUAGAGCUUUACCAUUAACCUUAAAUUAUAAGCUAAUUGGUUCGGUUGGGGCGACCAAGGAAUAUUAAACAUCCUUACACAAAUUAGACAAACAAGUCAUAAAAAAGAUCCUUAUUAAAGAUCAUUGGAAUAAGCUACCUUAGGGAUAACAGGCUAAUUCCUCUAGAGAGCUCUUAUUGACAGAGGAGGUUGGCACCUCGAUGUUGGCUUAGGACUUCUUUAUGACGCAGCAGUCAUAACCAGAUGGUUUGUUCAACCAUUAAAUUCCU
rnacentral:rRNA from 1 species